AGAUCACAUGGGUGGUGGCUGUGAGGUAAACACGAUAUGAUACGGUACGAUUGGCGUGAAGUGCGUGAAGUGGCGUUUAGAAAUACUGAAUGAAGAAUCAAGCCUGCGGCGACGUGACAGAAAUAAGUGUUGGAAACUGAGAGGCAGGGCGAUUUCCCACAGAUGUCACAGAUCCGCUCAGAGAAACUCAAUGAAGAAGAGGAGAUGAGAAGAAGAGAUUAUAUCUCUUCCUCCUCCUCCAAAGACAACGUAGAAAAGACAACAAUAGAAAAUGGACUUCACGAUCAAAACCAGCAUCUCCCGCCUGGUCUCCGUUUUCUGUUUGAUGAGGAACUCUUUUAUUCCAGCUAAGUUUGCGAAAGAGAGAGAGAGAGAGAGAGAGAGAGAGAGAGAGAGAGAGAGAGAGAGAGAGAGAGAGAGAGAGAGAGCUGUUUGAUAAAGAAGAGGUCCCCCUACUCCUCCAAGAUAUAGAAAACGGACUUCACGAUCUAAACCAGCAUCUGCCGCCUGGUCUCCGUUUUCUGUUUGAUGGUGAACUCUCGUAUGCCAACUAAGUUUGCGAGGGGAGAGAGAGAGAGAGAGAGAGAGAGAGAGAGAGAGAGAGAGAGAGAGAGAGAGAGAGAGAGAGAGGUUGUCAGGUAACACACACACACACACACACACACACACACACACACACACACACACACACACACACACACACACACACACAUACACACAUUAAAAAAAAAAAGCGAAAGUUGUACCAUUACUUAAAUCAGGCAAUAGAUCCGAUAUUAAAAAUCACAGGCCCAUCUCAAUACUUCCGGCAUUCAGCAAGGUUUUUAAAAAGUUAUUACUUCCCGUCUUGUUACAUGUUUUGAAAAUAAUAAUCUACUCCGGACUAUCAGCAUGAGUUCAGGACAGGUCGUUCAACAGAAAUAGCUGUUGUACAGUUCACAUCUAAUGUAUAUCAAUAUCUAGAAAAGAAACAUUAUUCAAUAGGAGUAUUCUUUGACCUAUCUAAAGCAUUCGAUAUAGUGAGUCACAAAAUUCUGUUGAAUGAGCUUAGUCCCUGUGGUGUUAGAGGUAUUCCCUUAAAAAAAACUCCUUGAAAGUUGUUUAGCCGAUAGGUCACACGCUGUAUACUGCAGUCUGGGCCUCUACCUGGCAGUCCUUCAUUAAAAAAAUAUCAGUAGCUCAAAUUAAAAUGUUUAGGUGCAUAUUUUAUAUGAAGAGAUUUGAGUCAACACGAAAUAUACUUGAUACACAAAAUUUUCUUAGCUUUACAAAUAUUCAUAAAUAUUUUUUACUGUUAAGCAUUUACAAGUACAUUACAUAGCAUUGUGGAGCUCAGUUUUUCAGACUGGUGCGCACAUCAUGCAACACUCGAGGUAAUAAUAUCAAUGUCGUAUGUUCACACUUCAGAACGUCUCUCCUUAACCACAGUAUACUAUAAUCCGGUUCCCAAAUGUGGAAAUCAUUGCCUUUACAAAUCAAGAUUCUUCUCAGUAGUGUUAAUUCAUCCAUUUUUAAAAAAGUCUGUGAAAACAUAUUUAUGUAAUUGCUAAAAUAAUUAAUAUUAUAUACGUAGUACUGUUAAAACUUAAAAACUAAUAUU